rnacentral:rRNA from 1 species
AGCGAACGCUGGCGGCAGGCCUAACACAUGCAAGUCGUACGAACCUUUCGGGGUUAGUGGCGGACGGGUGAGUAACACGUGGGAACGUGCCUUUAGGUUCGGAAUAACUCAGGGAAACUUGUGCUAAUACCGAAUGUGCCCUUCGGGGGAAAGAUUAAUCGCCUUUAGAGCGGCCCGCGUCUGAUUAGCUAGUUGGUUGAGGUAAUGGCUCACCAAGGCGACGAUCAGUAGCUGGUCUGAGAGGAUGAUCAGCCACAUUGGGACUGAGACACGGCCCAAACUCCUACGGGAGGCAGCAGUGGGGAAUCUUGCGCAAUGGGCGAAAGCCUGACGCAGCCAUGCCGCGUGAAUGAUGAAGGUCUUAGGAUUGUAAAAUUCUUUCACCGGGGACGAUAAUGACGGUACCCGGAGAAGAAGCCCCGGCUAACUUCGUG